UAUUAUUUAAAAUGUAAUUAAUAAUACUAAAGUAGUAAUAGUUAUGUUCUUGAAACUUAAAAAAUUUGGCGGUAUUUUAGUCUAUCCAGAGGAACCUGUUUUGUAAUCGAUAAUCCACGAUGGACCUUACUUAAGUUUGUAAUCAGUUUAUAUACCGUCGUUAUCAGAAUAUUUUAUAAGAAUAAUAAUAUUCAAUAAUUUCAAUAAGAAUUUAUAUCAGAUCAAGGUGUAGCUUAUAUUUAAGUAAUAAUGGGUUACAAUAAAAUUAUUUAUACGGAUAAAAUUAUGAAAAAGUUUUUGAAGGUGGAUUUGGUAGUAAAAUUAUAAAGAUUAAUAAUUUGAUUUUAGCUCUAAAAUAUGUACACAUCGCCCGUCGCUCUUAUUAUUAAGGUAAGAUAAGUCGUAACAUAGUAGAUGUACUGGAAAGUGUAUCUAGAAUGA
rnacentral:rRNA from 1 species